AACGAACGCUGGCGGCAGGCUUAACACAUGCAAGUCGAACGAGAUCUUCGGAUCUAGUGGCAGACGGGUGAGGAACACGUGGGAACAUCCCUUUCAGUUCGGAAUAACGUUGGGAAACUAACGCUAAUACCGGAUACGUCCUUCGGGAGAAAGAUUUAUCGCUGAAAGAUUGGCCCGCGUCUGAUUAGCUAGUUGGUCAGGUAACGGCUCACAAAGGCUACGAUCAGUAGCUGAUCUGAGAGGAUGAUCAGCCACAUUGGGACUGAGACACGGCCCAAACUCCUACGGGAGGCAGCAGUGGGGAAUAUUGGACAAUGGGCGCAAGCCUGAUCCAGCCAUGCCGCGUGAGUGAUGACGGCCUUCGGGUUGUAAAGCUCUUUUGUCCGGGAAGAUAAUGACUGUACCGGAAGAAUAAGCCCCGGCAAACUUCGUGCCAGCAGCCGCCGUAA
rnacentral:rRNA from 1 species